GGGCCCUUAGCUCAGCCUGGACAGAGUGCUUGGCUUCGGACCAAGUUGCCGGGGGUUCAAAUCCCUCAGGGCUCG
rnacentral:tRNA from 1 species